CCUACGGGUGGCUGCAGUGAGGAAUAUUGGUCAAUGGACGAGAGUCUGAACCAGCCAAGUAGCGUGAAGGAUGACUGCCCUAUGGGUUGUAAACUUCUUUUAUAAAGGAAUAACACGCGGCACGUGUGCCUUUUUGCAUGUACUUUAUGAAUAAGGCUCGGCUAACCCCGGUCCAGCAGCCGCGGUAAUACGGAGGAUCCGAGCGUUUACCGGAUUUAGUGGGGUUAAAGGGAUGGUUGAUGGGUUGUUAAGUUAGUUGGGAAAGUUUGCGGCUCAACCGUAAAAUUGCCAUUGAUACUGGCAGUCUUGAGUACAGGUGAGGUAGGCGGAAUGCGUGGUGUAGCGGUGAAAUGCUUAGAUAUCACGAAGAACCCCGAUUGCGAAGGCAGCUUACUAAACUGUGACUGACAUUGAUGCUCGAAAGUGUGGGGAUCAAACAGGAUUAGAUACCCUUGUAGUC
rnacentral:rRNA from 1 species